AGGAUUCAAUUCUAAUAUCAAUCUGCCAGGGAGGGAAGACUGUGGCUCUGCCCCCACCUCACCAUCUCUCCAGCUACAAGACAAGAACGCCAACAACCACUCUCCCCACUCACAAAGCUCUGCCCCUGUAGAGAACGGGAACCAGAUCUCAAACGGGUCGCUGGAGGAUGAGAGUCACAGCAAGUCAAACUCCUCCAGCACCCCCUCUUUGCACAGACACAUGGAUAGUCAUCAUACUCAGGUGUUCCAGCGGCUACGUCUGUCCAACGGGGAUGAGAGCGCCGCCCUUGGAGAGCUUCUGCGAUGGCGGCGAUUGCAGUGUGAGGGGCGGAGUGACUGGAAGCGCCGCCCACCUAAGUCCCCACCCCUGCCCCCCACGCCCACCUAAGUCCCCACCCCUGCCCCCCACACUGCUCUGGACCAACAGGAAGGCCCCUCCAUGAUGGAGGUUUUCUGAUAAAGUCACAUACGUUGGCUAUGAAGUUCCUCCCUCUUUCUUCAGCCACACUUCCACGAGCUUUUCAAUUUUAUUCGUUUCCCUUUUUUUUGUUUGUUUUUGAUCUGUUAACCUCUGUCCCCAUUGACUAAGCUGAAGCUCCAAGAAUGAGCCUAGUCCGUGGGGUGAAGGUCCUGCUUUUUCCCUUUGCACUCAACUGUGGGGGAUUCCCUUACUUAUGUGAUAGAAACUCAGCACCAUGUGACAGCUAACUGAUACUAACUGAUAUCCAUGAAAAAUGACUGCAAAGCAGAAAAAGAAUAGAUGCGGGAUAGUCUGUGAUGACAUAUAUGAUCAAAAAGAGAAAAACACUGACUUGUCUAUUUAUUUUCAGCUCUUCUAAGAUGAAAUGACUGACGCUGAUCAAUAGGAGGCUUACAAGCAAAGUAGUUGACCUGGGGUUUAGAUGCCGAAUGGCCAUCUGAUUUGGAUCGUAUGGCCUCAUAAGAUGAGCUGCUGUAUUAAAAUGAGCUCCACUCUAAAACCCGGUGCUGAUUAUACUUGACGUGCUGUGAUGUUCCCGUGUGAUGCUUUCUCAUAUGUGCACACCUCAGAAAGUCUCAGAAAGUUUACAAGUCAACCAACGCCUCUGGAGACCUUCAGUUUUGAACAACACUUUACUGGCUUAGACAUGGGACCUUUUUCAGGUACACAGCUCUCAUUUAGCGUCUCAUGUGUGGGCUCUAAGUGCUACUGCAGCCCUGGCAGCAAGGGGCCCGGGGUCAGGGUAACCUCAGUAUUAUCCCAAGGUGCACUUCUCUUCCCCCUUGUUACCACCAGCCUGUGAGAAAGCCCUCUGGCCAAUCCUAAACUACUGCACUUACCUUUACUAGGAGACGGGGAUCCAACUAAUGAGCAUACUUUGGCUUUAUGUAUAAAGGUAAAGCUGAGAUUUUAAAAAAAGAAAAGAAAAAAAAAGCUUUAGCCGAUAGGUAUUUAGUUCAUGUUCUGAACAUGAAACUCUGUGCCAAAGUGAUACAAUGUGUGAAAGCUAUAUCUAAACUAACAAGUAUAGUUAUUAAAACUGAUGCGUACGGUAGUCUCCUUAUGCUUGUAUACUGUAUGUACAGACUGACAAAUGACCAAAUCAUAGCUGUUGUUGCAGUUCACUGGUGAUCCUGUGUGGACUAAAAACAUUAAAAAGUGUUUAAAAUGGGUAUAAAACUGUUCACACUCUUAACGUGUCUCAUCAGCAUCUGAACAGGUUAAUGCGUUUUUCAGGAGACCUCACGCACAGAUGAACCUGAUUAUUGUACAGAUCCCUACUUCGUUGUUGUGUCCUCGCAGGCGCCUAUUUUUUACCUUCUCUGUCCUGUCCUCAUCUUCUUUUCCUUUCCCGUACUUGACCCAAAACAAACAGACCCCCUUGCCCUUUCCCCUACUUGACCCACCCCACCUCCUCCAGUGGAUCAAACCGGCUUUACGGGUGUUUCCAUGGUAGCCACAGUGUAAAUAGUGAAUGGUGUCAUAUGUUUUAGCUUUUACUAUAGAAGAAAAGCACGGCGGUUGACCUUGAAGAUGAAAGACAAGGAUGAGUAUAUAAUACUGUGUAUGGUGAAACUGAGAUUGAAGAAUGUCUCGGGUUAGAUGCAAUGCUGAGAGAAAGAGGUCUAUUUUAAGAUGUGAAUAUCUUUUCUUUUUUUUCUUUUUUUUAGAACGACUGUCUACGGUUAUGAAAAUUCGUUUAUACUCUAUUUAAUGAUUUGUUUAUUCCCCUUCGACCCCAUUGUUCUGCUCCCUGAUGCAAUGCAGAUGUUCUAAAUGUAUAUGGAUGUUUUAUUGCACAAUGUUUAUGUGGUGUUGUGUUGACCUCUGUAAUGGGCUGGGUGUGUCUAGACAAGGUGUUCGAUCUUUAAAGAUCCAGUCUGAAUUGUUAGAGCCUCCAAGUAUCAAUAGCUCUAAUAGAUUUCUCAUUCCCACUGAUCACCCACAAGGCAUUUAAAUUGGUUCAGAAUUGCAAAUUAGCAGCGCCAUCGCAGGAUCGAUUUCGGUUGUUGUCGGCGUGCGAAGGUGCACAAAUAUUCAAGAGCCCGUUGAAGGCGAACUUGCCCAGUUGUGUUUUGGUCUGACUGGCUGAAUGUACAAAUGCAAAAUUUUUAUUCCACCAUCCUGUGCACAUCUUUGAAUCUCUUUGUAUCUUAUUACCGGAACAUGCGCCUGAAUCAAAACAGUGUACCUAACUGCUUAAUGUGAUUAUUGUCUUCAGAAGUUGUGUAUGCAGUUCAUUUUUUUUCAAGCAAGUAUAAGGUAUUGAUUUGCCCCAUAUAUCACACCUUGUGCACUGUGAUUUGGGGCUGCAUGAGCACUGCAAUGGAGAAAUAUAUCAAACAUUUUCACACAAGUAGUUGUGUGUUUCAUCUGCGAUCAAACAAAAGACAGGAACCAAGACUAAGCUCGUCAACCUUGCUAAUGCCAUUGAAAGAAUUUCUAGCUUUGGUAUUUAUCCUUCAGUAUAAUCAGAGUUAUGGUUGGUCGUGUGCAGUUUUGUGUAUACUUAUGUUUAUGGAAGUCAUGAAAUGAGGACAUUUUUAAAUUGUAUUUUAAAGCAUAUCAGUGGUUUUUACCUUGCAUGACCACAUGUUGGGUGUCCUCCCCGUAUAACAUGCUCGUGCAGAAAAGAUAAAGGCUGUCUAAUGUGAAGAACUGCUUCCCUCUGCACUGUGAAUCACUCCACUGUCCCCCACUGUCUCGGCUAAACACAUCAUCCAUCCAUAUCCACAUAAACCCAUCUGCUAAUAUGUCCACUUCAUCACAUACAAAUCUUGAUGAAUUCGCUCACUCUGAAGUAAGCUCCGGCAGCCAAAAUACUGCCAGUCAUAUUCGUUAGCCAGGAAUCUAUAAAUCCUCUGCUCUGAGAUCACCUCUCUGGUGCUACUGCCAGUGUACAAUGGCCAUCUAUUGUCUCCAGUCCACUUAUAGUUGUCCAGAGAGACAUGAUAUUUCAGCACUGCCUUUCAUAUUGUUGUUGUUGUUGUUGUUUUUUUUUUUAUUGUAAUCUUUCUUUUGUACAUGACAUACAGUAUAUUUUAAUCUGCAUACAUAUGUGUUUGUGGAAAGAAAAAAAUUAUUGUGAUAUUUCAGAAUUAUUAUGUUCCCAAUUUUUUAAGUACUGUACUUGUACAGCAAUAAAGCACAAUUGUGUCAAUGCGAGUCUGUGUGUGUGUGUGUGUGUGUGUGUGUGUGUGUGUGUGUGUGUGUGUGUGUGUGUCUAUAUUUAAGUAGCCACUGUGACAUUACCCAUUGUUUGUAAA
ensembl:lncRNA